rnacentral:rRNA from 1 species
CCGGUCCGCCUCACCGCGUGCACUGGUCCGGCCGGGCCUUUCCCUCUGUGGAACCGCAUGCCCUUCACUGGGUGUGCCGGGGAAACUGGACUUUGACUUUGAAAAAAUUAGAGUGCUCCAGGCAGGCCUAUGCUCGAAUACAUUAGCAUGGUAAUAAUAGAAUAGGACGUGUGGUUCUAUUUUGUUGGCUUUCUAGGACCGCCGUAAUGAUUAAUAGGGACAGUCGGGGGCAUCAGUAUUCAAUUGUCAGAGGUGAAAUUCUUGGAUGUAUUGAAGACUAACUACUGCGAAAGCAUUUGCCAAGGAUGUUUUCAUUUAUCAGGAACGAAACUUAGGCGAUCGAAGACGAUCAGAUACCGUCGUAGUCUUAACCAUAAACUAUGCCGACUAGGGAUCGGACGAUGUUAUUUUUUGACUCGUUCGGCACCUUACGAGAAAUCAAAGUGCUUGGGCUCCAGGGGGAGUAUGGUCGCAAGGCUGAAACUUGCAGACAUUGACGGAAGGGCACCACCAGGGGUGGAGCCUGCGGCCU